rnacentral:rRNA from 1 species
UACAGAGGGGGCAAGCGUUGUUCGGAAUUACUGGGCGUAAAGGGCGCGUAGGCGGCCUCUUAAGUCGAACGUGAAAUCCCCGGGCUCAACCUGGGAAUGGCAUUUGGGACUGCAAGGCUGGAGUGCGGCAGAGGAGACUGGAAUUCCUGGUGUAGCAGUGAAAUGCGUAGAUAUCAGGAGGAAUACCGAUGGCGAAGGCAGGUCUCGUGGGCUGACACUGA